rnacentral:rRNA from 1 species
GAGUUUGAUCCUGGCUCAGAACGAACGCUGGCGGCAGGCCUAACACAUGCAAGUCGAACGCUGUAGCAAUACAGAGUGGCGCACGGGUGCGUAACGCGUGGGAAUAUGCCCUUGACUACGGAACAACGUCGGGAAACUGACGCUAAUACCGUAUAAUGUCUUCGGACCAAAGAUUUAUCGGUCAAGGAUUAGCCCGCGUCUGAUUAGCUAGUUGGUGAGGUAACGGCUCACCAAGGCGACGAUCAGUAGGGGGUCUGAGAGGAUGAUCCCCCACACUGGGACUGAGACACGGCCCAGACUCCUACGGGAGGCAGCAGUGAGGAAUAUUGGACAAUGGGCGCAAGCCUGAUCCAGCAAUGCCGCGUGAGUGAUGAAGGCCUUAGGGUUGUAAAGCUCUUUCGCUAGGGAAGAUAAUGACGGUACCUAGAGAAGAAGCCCCGGCUAACUUCGUGCCAGCAGCCGCGGUAAC